rnacentral:rRNA from 1 species
ACGAACGCUGGCGGCGUGCCUAAUACAUGCAAGUUGAGCGCUGAAGGUUGGUACUUGUACCGACUGGAUGAGCAGCGAACGGGUGAGUAACGCGUGGGGAAUCUGCCUUUGAGCGGGGGACAACAUUUGGAAACGAAUGCUAAUACCGCAUAAAAACUUUAAACACAAGUUUUAAGUUUGAAAGAUGCAAUUGCAUCACUCAAAGAUGAUCCCGCGUUGUAUUAGCUAGUUGGUGAGGUAAAGGCUCACCAAGGCGAUGAUACAUAGCCGACCUGAGAGGGUGAUCGGCCACAUUGGGACUGAGACACGGCCCAAACUCCUACGGGAGGCAGCAGUAGGGAAUCUUCGGCAAUGGACGAAAGUCUGACCGAGCAACGCCGCGUGAGUGAAGAAGGUUUUCGGAUCGUAAAACUCUGUUGGUAGAGAAGAACGUUGGUGAGAGUGGAAAGCUCAUCAAGUGACGGUAACUACCCAGAAAGGGACGGCUAACUACGUGCCAGCAGCCGCGGGA